rnacentral:sRNA from 1 species
UAUCUCUCCGUACGGGGAAGGAUGAGAAGCUUCGACCAAGGUUCGAUUCGAGCGCAGCGAGAAAGCGUUGCCGUAGGCAACGACCCGAAGGGCGAAGCGCGC